CCUCUGGAUCAUUACAAGGUUACACUCUCUCAAACUACAGCUCUCCAGGAAACCAAGGCUAUGGUCCAACACAGUCAACACAGGGUAGUUAUGGACGAGGAGAAC